UGCAACAGAGAUGUUGCCAUGUCGCUGGCUG
rnacentral:piRNA from 1 species